UACGUAGGGGGCUAGCGUUGUCCGGAAUCAUUGGGCGUAAAGAGCGUGUAGGCGGCCCGGUAAGUCCGCUGUGAAAGUCGGGGGCUCAACCCUCGAAUGCCGGUGGAUACUGUCGGGCUAGAGUGCGGAAGAGGCGAGUGGAAUUCCUGGUGUAGCGGUGAAAUGCGCAGAUAUCAGGAGGAACACCGAUUGCGAAGGCAGCUCGCUGGGACGUCACUGACGCUGAGGAGCGAAAGCGUGGGGAGCAAACAGG
rnacentral:rRNA from 1 species